rnacentral:lncRNA from 1 species
UGGAAUUCCUUAAGUAGCUCAUAUUUCACUAGAACAAAAAACUCACAACUCUAAACGUCGUGUUUUGAGAUUAUGCUUUGCUCUAGUCAUUUUGUGAUUUUGUUCAAUCAUUAAAAAAAAGUUCUACAAGAAAAUUAUGCAUUGUCCUAAAACCUUAUGUAAGGAAAAAAAAAAAAGGAAAGAAGAAAAACACCUACCAGCAAAGAAAAAUAGACAAUGUGUACAUGUUUCUUCAUCUGUAAAAUAAGAAUAAUAAAAGUGCCUAUCUCCUAGGGUUGUUAUGAGGAUUACAUGAAUUAACAUUUUUAAAGUGCUUAGAACAGUGCCUGGCUAGUGGUAAGCUACAUAACUUUAUUUAAUAAAACUGGCGCAACUGGAAUAAAGUGAACAUCAGAAAACCUGCUCUGUCCUCCUUGCAAGUAAUUAAGUACCAUGAGGUCUUUCUGGAGGCAGAGAGAAUUGAGGUACAGUGGGAGAAAUGUGUUUCCAGCAAGUCUUAGCUAAGUGUGUUAUCCCUUGGUUUAUUUUCAUUAUAUGAGUUUUUGAUUCCUGCAUACUUUGAAGUUUGCCUCAAGGGAAAAAGUUGAAUUGAGACUCUUUGUGACUAGAAUCUUUGGCCUGGAAGGUUGGCACCUUCAGCUAUUUCUCAUGCCAAGCCUUUGAGAUUCUGUUCCCGUUCCAAAAGCUGACAGGAGCUUCCUUGCAAGUUCCUCUGAAAGAAAUGAAUGAGACUAAACUCCAACAGAUUUCUGCCUUUACAG